ensembl:lncRNA
UUUUUUUCCAAUUCGUAAGGAUCCUCAAAACAUAAAUGCUCUUUUAUGUAUAAACUUUUCAGCUUGAUUAUGAACUAAAAGUAUUUUUAUAUAUCAUUCAUAAUAACAGAGAGAGAAUAUUGAAGAGAUUUGAACACUUAAGUGAUAAUAUACCACUGUAAAUUCAAAAUACUGUGGUAAUUUGUAAAGCUUGUUGUGGGCUCAAGCUAAUAAUUGUGUCUUCACCUAAGAUUAAUAAUACAGGCAGAGACUCUGGUAACACAGAAUCUGCAUUUCAGUGACUAAUAUCAUCCAAACUCUGCAGUGACUAGUCUCAUCCAAAAAAGGUCUGUUCUUUGAAGUCAGCAGAUACUGGGUCAGACUUUAAAGGGAAUUAAUACAUAAUUACAUUAUAAAAAGGAACUGGUCUGUAUCGAAAGAGAUAUAAGCACGCAUUUGAAGAAGUGCUUAAUAGUUUUUCAUAGGACACAUCUGGCUUUCUCAGUAGCAGCUUGUGCUAUCACAUUCUGGUUAAGCUGACACAGAGAAACAUAAAGAUACCUCUCAUAAGAGCAAGAAGUUCUUCUGGUGCUCCUGAAAUAUCUCAUCCUGGCUACAAUUUUUAGAGGAGCCGUACAACAACUGACGCCUCUGCUUCACCUCAUCAGACAGGACUCCUCAUCUCCCACGAAGCAGCCUGUAAAAGCCUGUGAGUAUUAUGGGCCAGGAUGCAGAUGCUGCUCUUUCAUGGAAAGAUUUAUGCUGGCAGAACUCACUUGGAUACCUUUGAAGAAAAGCAGCUGGAAAAACAAGGCGUCUAGAUUUUUGCUGCUCCAUGGAGCAGUCAGGCUGUGAAUCCUCUGCAGUGCUCUGGGGUUAAGGAAGAUGGUGUGAAAAAGAAGCCACAGAAAGAACACCAGUGCAACUAGCAGGAGGAAAUAUUGUUUUGGGAACACAAGAACUAAUUGCUGUAUGUUGUGGCUGUGUGGAAAAUUAGAUCACCCUAAUUUUUCAUACUAUUUUAAGACCAGGUAACUAAUCACAAACCAGUAGUGUAAUAAGGUCAGAGAGUUUUUGUGGGGCUGUUAGACAAGUCAUAGACACCUGUACAAGUGGGAGAGCUCCCAAGAUAUGUGAGCUCAGUAAGGAGGAGCUCAGCAAGGUUUUUGCUCUAUAUCCUACCAUAUCAACACUUCAUUUUGUGCAUUUUCUGAUUAAUCAUUAAAUCUCAUCCAGCUGACUUCCAAAGCCAACUGGGUCAGGUAAUCCUUAGACACAGAGCCUCUCCCUGUCCCUCUCCAAUAGAAAUUCUCCAGGAAACAUCUGAUGUAAGUCAUGCCAAGGUGCCACCAGGCUGAAUUUCUUGCUAGAAUUUUAGUAUUUCUCAGGAUUUGACUUGUUCCUUAUAAUGACAAUUAUGCAAAACCUCUGCUCUAUCUUUUCUCCUUGCCAUGUAGAAGUUUGAACACUACUGUAUCUUACUGGAUUUUUUUUCCCUUUUCUUUUAUUCUAUUUUAAUGCUGUUUUGACAGCCAGUCAAUUUUUUACCUUCCUUUGAAGAAACUACUCAAAAGGGCAGGAGCACAUGAGCUAACUUCAGGGUUGGUAAAGGAGAGGUAUUUUUAGAGUAAAGGGAACACAAAAAAGAACUGUUUUAUUUACUGUAAAAAACUGUGGAGGUCCUUAG